rnacentral:rRNA from 1 species
UGGGGAAUUUUGGACAAUGGGGGAAACCCUGAUCCAGCCAUCCCGCGUGUGCGAUGAAGGCCUUCGGAUUGUAAAGCACUUUUGGCAGGAAAGAAACGUCAUGGGUUAAUACCCCGUGAAACUGACGGUACCUGCAGAAUAAGCACCGGCUAACUACGUGCCAGCAGCCGCGGUAAUACGUAGGGUGCAAGCGUUAAUCGGAAUUACUGGGCGUAAAGCGUGCGCAGGCGGUUCGGAAAGAAAGAUGUGAAAUCCCAGAGCUCAACUUUGGAACUGCAUUUUUAACUACCGGGCUAGAGUGUGUCAGAGGGAGGUGGAAUUCCGCGUGUAGCAGUGAAAUGCGUAGAUAUGCGGAGGAACACCGAUGGCGAAGGCAGCCUCCUGGGAUAACACUGACGCUCAUGCACGAAAGCGUGGGGAGCAAACAGG